GUGUAAUGCAUUUGACUCACUGUACUACUUAUGCAUGUGUCUAAUUUGUACCAGAGUGUCAAUGGGAUGUGGGACCAAGUCAGAGUUUACCAUGGGAAGGAGUUCUACCUGUGCCUGUACAUCCAGGGUAUCCUUCCCAGGCACAGGUAUAACCUCAGCAGGCCACCUUACUUGCAGACUACAUAUUCAAGGAAUCUUAGGGUGGAGCAGAUUUGGCCUGAAGUCAAUAACUGAAGCAGGCCCUGGUGCACCUGACUGACCAAGCGGCCAUAGACAUGCAGGACAACACGGUGAAGUUCUGUGUGUCUAACCUUACGUGCCAACUCAGCCAGAUUGGGUUAGACAGGGUUGUGCAGUCAUGGAAUGCACAUAGGAUUCAAGGUAGAGGAAUACCUAAUGAACUCGCUGCAGCAGGAUGUCCAGCACAGAUAUCGGAGGACCUGCUACCCAGUGCUGCUGUUGCUGCUGACAGAUAUGAGCAGGGGUUUAGAAGCUCUCUCAGCAGGGAGGCAGCCUUUGGUGUGGACCCCUUUCACACUGAGGAAGACAGGAGGGACUUUGCGGUGGCCUACCCUGAUCCCUCAUCUUUGACAAUGUGGUCAACAAUGACCAUAGUGCAUUUCAUGAAGCCCUUUUCUGCCUGCUGAAUGGCACUGAGAGGAAUGUGUGAAAUGUUUUGAUGGAUGUGUGACGGCCUGUGUAUACUGUUAAGUGUUACGUGUGAUUGACCGUACAUUUUCUUGAUGAUGCUGUUAAUAAUGUAUGUGUUUAUCUGCCGUUUUCACAAAGAAAAGACUUCAACAAAACCUGUUGCAAGGAAACCACUUGUGUCUGCGAAUGCUUGUAAAAAAUAUUUUACAUUUCUCCAUCUAGAUGUGUAGCACUUUUAUAACCAAACAAAAUAGUACGUACAAUUAAUGACAAUAGAACGAUUUUCAGAAAGAACUACAACUUAAUGGGCAAAUAACAAUUUAACGUAAAAUUUGAACACAUAAUAAUAGUAAUAACUAAUUUAAAAUUGAAUAAAACAUAAAAAUUAAAGCCUCGUCCAGCCCCACCACUGGCUGCGUGUUUCCUCCGUAAAAGUCCCCACCUCUGCAUCUAGGGCAGUAGGUGAGGCUAACCUGCCGUUGCUCCACACAGCUGCUGCAGCCCAGGAUGGGUCUGCAGCAGCUGGCAAAUAUGGGCUCCUUCAUAGGAUCUGCAGUUUACAUAGAGAAUUUAGAUUAGUGACUUUAAGGAGGCUUUUAGACUUUUUUUGUUAGCCCUUAUGUUUUUUUUCAUGAUGACAAUAAAAAACGACAGUGUU